rnacentral:rRNA from 1 species
GCUCAGGAUGAACGCUAGCUACAGGCUUAACACAUGCAAGUCGAGGGGUAGCAGGGUAGCAAUACCGCUGACGACCGGCGCACGGGUGAGUAACACGUAUCCAACCUUCCCAUAACUCGGGGAUAGCCUUUCGAAAGAAAGAUUAAUACCCGAUAGUACUUUUUUAGGGCAUCUUAAGAAAGUUAAAGAUUUAUUGGUUAUGGAUGGGGAUGCGUUCCAUUAGGUAGUUGGUGAGGUAACGGCUCACCAAGUCUUCGAUGGAUAGGGGUUCUGAGAGGAAGGUCCCCCACAUUGGUACUGAGACACGGACCAAACUCCUACGGGAGGCAGCAGUGAGGAAUA